CCUACGGGUGGCAGCAGUGAGGAAUAUUGGUCAAUGGACGCAAGUCUGAACCAGCCAUGCCGCGUGCAGGAAGACGGCUCUAUGAGUUGUAAACUGCUUUUGUACGAGGGUAAACGCAGAUACGCUAAUCUGUCUUAAAGUAUCGUACGAAUAAAGAUCGGCUAACUCCGUGCCAUCAGCCGCGGUAAGACGGAGGAUUCAAGCGUUAUCCGAUUUUAUUGGGUUUAAGGGGUGCGUAGGCGGUCGGAUAAGUUAGAGUUAAAAUCCCGGGGCUAAACUUCGGAAUUGCCUAUGAUACGGUUCGGCUAGGGAGUAAUUGGGGUAGGCGGAAUGUAUGGUGUGGCGGUGAA
rnacentral:rRNA from 1 species